UACGUAGGGGGCAAGCGUUAUCCGGAUUUACUGGGUGUAAAGGGAGCGUAGACGGCAUCGCAAGUCCGGAGUGAAAGCCCACGGCCCAACCGUGGGACUGCUCUGGAAACUGUAGAGCUGGAGUGCGGGAGGGGCAGGCGGAAUUCCUAGUGUAGCGGUGAAAUGCGUAGAUAUUAGGAGGAACACCGGCGGCGAAGGCGGCCUGCUGGACCGUAACUGACGUUGAGGCUCGAAAGCGUGGGGAGCAAACAGG
rnacentral:rRNA from 1 species